AGAGUUUGAUCCUGGCUCAGGAUAAACGCUGGCGGCGUGCAUUAAACAUGUAAGUCGAACGGAUCUUUCUCGCAAGAGGGAGGUUAGUGGCGGACGGCUGAGUAACACGUGAGUGACCUGUCCUACAAGUGGGGGAUAACAGCGAGAAAUCGUUGCUAAUACCGCAUGUGGUGGUCUGGAUAGAGCCAGAUCACUAAAGCUGCAAGGCGCUUGAUGAGGGGCUCGCGUCCGAUUAGCUAGUUGGUGGGGUAAAGGCUCACCAAGGCGAUGAUCGGUAGCUGGUCUGAGAGGAUGAUCAGCCAGACUGGGACUGAGACACGGCCCAGACUCCUACGGGAGGCAGCAGUUAGGAAUUUUGCACAAUGGGGGAAACCCUGAUGCAGCAACGCCGCGUGGGCGAAGAAGGUCUUCGGAUCGUAAAGCCCUUUUCUGCGGGAAGAGAGUGGACGGUACCGCAGGAAUAAGCCUCGGCUAACUACGUGCCAGCAGCCGCGGUAAUACGUAGGAGGCGAGCGUUGUCCGGAUUUAUUGGGCGUAAAGAGCGCGUAGGUGGCUCGACAAGUUGGGUGUGAAAUCCUCUGGCUUAACUGGAGGGGGUCAUCCGAUACUGUCGGGCUGGAGGCAGGCAGAGGAAGGUAGAAUUCCCGGUGUAGUGGUGAAAUGCGUAGAUAUCGGGAGGAAUACCAGUGGCGAAGGCGGCCUUCUGGGCCUGUUCUGACGCUGAGGCGCGAAAGCGUGGGGAGCGAACCGGAUUAGAUACCCGGGUAGUCCACGCAGUAAACGAUGGACACUAGGUGUGGGGGGUAUCGACCCCUCCCGUGCCGAAGCAAACGCAUUAAGUGUCCCGCCUGGGGAGUACGGCCGCAAGGCUAAAACUCAAAGGAAUUGACGGGGGCCCGCACAAGCAGCGGAGCGUGUGGUUUAAUUCGACACAACGCGAAGAACCUUACCAGGGCUUGACAUCACUGGGAAUUGGGCGGAAACGUUCAAGUCCUUUUCGGGGACUCAGUGACAGAUGCUGCAUGGCUGUCGUCAGCUCGUGCCGUGAGGUGUUGGGUUAAGUCCCGCAACGAGCGCAACCCUCGUCGCUAGUUGAAUAAUCUAGCGAGACUGCCGGGAUAAACUCGGAGGAAGGUGGGGAUGACGUCAAGUCAGCACGGCUCUUACGUCCUGGGCUACACACACGCUACAAUGGGUGGUACAAAGGGUUGCAAAAGAGUGAUCUGGAGCCAAUCCCACAAAGCCAUCCUCAGUUCAGAUCGGAGGCUGCAACUCGCCUCCGUGAAGUCGGAGUUGCUAGUAACUGCCGGUCAGCACACGGCGGUGAAUACGUUCCCGGGCCUUGUACACACCGCCCGUCACGUCAUGAAAGCUGGUAACACCUGAAGCCGCUGGGCCAACCCUCUUCGGAGGGAGGUAGGUGUCGAGGGUGGGACUGGUGAUUGGGACGAAGUCGAAACAAGGUA
rnacentral:rRNA from 1 species